rnacentral:rRNA from 1 species
GAACGCUGGCGGCAGGCUUAACACAUGCAAGUCGCAGGAGAAGCAGGACUUCGGUUUUGUGGACACUGGCGGACGGGUGAGUAACGCGUGGGAACCUACCUCGGAGUGGGGGACAACCGCUGGAAACGGCGGCUAAUACCGCAUACGCCCUCAGGGGGAAAGCUUCGGCGCCCUGAGAUGGUCCCGCGUCGGAUUAGCUUGUUGGUGGGGUAACGGCCUACCAAGGCGACGAUCCGUAGCUGGUCUGAGAGGAUGAUCAGCCACACUGGAACUGAGACACGGUCCAGACUCCUACGGGAGGCAGCAGUGGGGAAUAUUGGACAAUGGGGGCAACCCUGAUCCAGCCAUGCCGCGUGGGUGAAGAAGGCCUUAGGGUUGUAAAACCCUUUCAGCGGGGAAGAUGAUGACGGUACCCGCAGAAGAAGCCCCGGCUAACUCCGUGCCAGCAGCCGCGGUAAU